AAACAUCACUCCUAAAUAGAAAUAGAUUUUUAAAAGGAGCAGCAGACCUGGUAACCUCACCUUGUUAAGGGCUCCGAUGCUGCGGGAAGCGGUGUCAGUGAAGAGCCGACUGUGCAGCAUCAUGGCCCGUCCCAGCAGGUACUCCAGCAGACCCACGGGGUAAGGAUGAAUGGCCGCUGCUGCCAGCUCCAGGGCUAUCAGUGCCAGGCGGUCAGUGGUCAUGGCAGUCCGCCAAUCCUCGGCACCAAUGUCAUGGACGUAGAGCUAAGUACCACAAGGAGAGGGACAGGUCGUCAGAGUGCAGCCAAGAGCUGUCUUUGCACAGUAGAUUAUCUCCCUCCAUCCAAUGUGGACGACCCAGGGUUUCAAGACAUGGUCAAGGCCACAGAACGACUUCAAUGUCUCUGACCUUGCUGUAGAUGCUCCAGGACAACUCAGUCUCCAUCACCAUCAGCACCACACCAAAUAUCCCCGCAGCCAGGGCGCAGUCAGCCAAACGCUGCCUUCUCACAAAC